rnacentral:lncRNA from 13 species
CAACAGGAGAGGACUCAGAGGAGCAGUUUCCGCUGUAUGCUAGCUAGGAGAGUUUAUUGUUAUUUUCUCAAUAGUAAAUUCUGGAAAUAGCCAUUUACAUUUCUUACGGAUCAAUGUUCCUCUCUGACAAUGAAGUAUACAUCUUUACCUCAUAAACAAUGUCAUCCAUGUUCACUUGGGUGAAGGUUGCAAGAUAGGUAAUGAUUGAUACAUUUCUGAAGGUUUUAGAUUAAUCCAAGUAGUUCAUUAAUGUUGAAAACAGUGAGUCACAGAUGUGCAGCAUGGACAAAUGAUAUAAGUUAACACAAAGGGAAUACUCAGUGUCUUGGCUCAAUGUGUUCCAGGUUACUACAGCAGGACAGGCCAGCUACUAGGUGUCCUAUCAGAGGGAUCCAUUCCUCAAAAUCAAACUGCCGAAAUAUUCUCUGCCUAAGGGAAUAUUGAGUCUGAGCUGUCGUACAAUAAUGUUGGAAUCUCAUCUGAUGCUGGUAACAACUGGAGACAGGUGAGUUUAGACUGAAUCUGGGGAUUAAAUCUAAUAAUCAAGGAAAACAUUGAAUAUUGUAGUCUGAAGAUAAGUAUUUUGGACAUGUACUGCUGUCUCUGCCCUUUGAUCAUGAGGUGUUUUGAAACUCUCAGUAUUCAGCUGUAAACUGAUAUAGUUUCUUACAUCCAGAGAUAGAUGUGUACAGUACAGUAGGUAUGUGGUAAAAAACGAUGUAAAUAUUAUAUUAUAUUGAAUUGCACGUGUGUCCUCUUUCAUAUAUUAGAGGAGGAGCACAACGUCUGGUUUCUGGGUAAAAGAGGGGCCCUAGUCACUGUAAAACAACCAACCGUCCCCACCAGACAUUUGCAGCAGGUUUAAACCUAAGUCAGUGUUUGUAUCUCUGUUAUUUGGUAGCUAUAAUAUGUUAGUACUUCUAUUGAUGUCAAGAAAACUUUUUUAAUUUCACUUCAUCUGUUGAUUAGAGGCAGUUUUCAAGGUUGGAACAACUUCCAAAUCACAAAAGUAUGCAAUAAAGAUACUACAGGUGCAUCAAAAAUCAAUUUGGGGCAAAGGGUUCUUCACAUAGUCCCCCUUUUAGUACUUUAACACUGACCAUCCUAUUCUAAAUUGGAGUGCCUACGUUUUGCCUCAGUGAAGACCAACUCAACUGAAACCACAUCUCUCUUCUUCUUAUAUCACUUUAGGAAAACAUUUAGAAAUUACUUUUAGCACCAGUCAAGUGUGGAGGAUUCCUUCCUUCCAGGUUGUGUCUCCUAGAUGAUUUAAGUGCACUAGAUAAGGACUAGGAUUCAAAUAGUAUUUGUUUUCUUUCAGCGUUUAAUUGUGCCAUUUAAUUGUCUCGAGUGUCAAGUGGCUGGUGUUUGCAAUUUUGGGCAGAUUCCAUUGGAUCCAUUAGGCCAGGCAAGCUCAAUAACGAGCAGCUAAAGUAUAACAAAUACUAUUUGAACCCAGGAAAAUGCUGUAGGAAUCAAUUCUCUCUCUCUCUGUCUCUCUCUCUCUCUGCUACUGUAAUAGUAAACAUUUCCUGACCCUGGUAUCCUCCUAAUAGAUGCAUAUCAAUACUUUGUCUG